rnacentral:rRNA from 1 species
UGCGAACGCUGGCGGCAGGCCUAACACAUGCAAGUCGAACGGACCCUUCGGGGUUAGUGGCGGACGGGUGAGUAACACGUGGGAACGUGCCUUUAGGUUCGGAAUAGCUCCUGGAAACGGGUGGUAAUGCCGAAUGUGCCCUUCGGGGGAAAGAUUUAUCGCCUUUAGAGCGGCCCGCGUCUGAUUAGCUUGUUGGUGGGGUAAUGGCCCACCAAGGCUACGAUCAGUAGCUGGUCUGAGAGGAUGACCAGCCACAUUGGGACUGAGACACGGCCCAAACUCCUACGGGAGGCAGCAGUGGGGAAUCUUGCGCAAUGGGCGAAAGCCUGAUGCAGCCAUGCCGCGUGUAUGAUGAAGGUCUUAGGAUUGUAAAAUACUUUCACCGGUGAAGAUAAUGACUGUAGCCGGAGAAGAAGCCCCGGCUAACUUCGUGCCAGCAGCCGCGGUAAUACGAAGGGGGCUAGCGUUGCUCGGAAUUACUGGGCGUAAAGGGAGCGUAGGCGGACAUUU